rnacentral:rRNA from 1 species
GAUGAACGCUGGCGGCGUGCCUAAUACAUGCAAGUCGAGCGAACAGACGAGGAGCUUGCUCCUCUGACGUUAGCGGCGGACGGGUGAGUAACACGUGGAUAACCUACCUAUAAGACUGGGAAAACUCGGGAAAACGGGAGCUAUUACCGGAAAUAUUUUUAACCGGCAGGGUUAAUUAGUAAAAGCGGGUUUUCCUUUCCCUAUUGGAUGAAUCCGCGCCGCAUUAGCUAGUUGGUAAGGUAACGGCUUACCAAGGCAACGAUGCGUAGCCGACCUGAGAGGGUGAUCGGCCACACUGGAACUGAGACACGGUCCAGACUCCUACGGGAGGCAGCAGUAGGGAAUCUUCCGCAAUGGGCGAAAGCCUGACGGAGCAACGCCGCGUGAGUGAUGAAGGUCUUCGGAUCGUAAAACUCUGUUAUUAGGGAAGAACAAAUGUGUAAGUAACUAUGCACGUCUUGACGGUACCUAAUCAGAAAGCCACGGCUAACUACGUG